UUGCCUAUAAUUUAAACAUAAAAUGAAAUCGUAUCUUCGAAUAAUAUUUGCUCAUGAAGAUAUUUCAAUUUUCUCGUAUAUUUGUUUUCACUCAUUUCAAAUUUUCUCCAACUCUUCUGAGUAAUCGAACAAAAUUUCGAGUUUCACUCAAUUGACGGUUAAACCUUUGAUAUUUCAUCCGGAUUGACUUUUACACGCGAGUGUAAAAGCAAGAUCGGAAUUCGGUCGAUGGAAAAAAAAUCCCAAUCUGGCCUGAAUAUUUAACCCGUUAAAAUUUAUUCGUUACAAAGCGAGAUAAGCUUGUUUCCAAUUGGAUGGAAAGCGAACGUGUCGUUUCAAAACCGAAAUGUUUCGUGAUUCCCGAUUUAAUCCGGUUGCUCGAGGAAAGUGUCGCGCGACUGGUGAGAAAUGGACGUUUAUUAGAAUCGAUUUUAGUGACACGUGCGAUACACGAUCGAUCGAUG